rnacentral:rRNA from 1 species
GACGAACGCUGGCGGCGUGCUUAACACAUGCAAGUCGAACGAAGAGCGAUGGAAGCUUGCUUCUAUCAAUCUUAGUGGCGAACGGGUGAGUAACGCGUAAUCAACCUGCCCUUCAGAGGGGGACAACAGUUGGAAACGACUGCUAAUACCGCAUACGAUCUAAUCUCGGCAUCGAGGAUAGAUGAAAGGUGGCCUCUACAUGUAAGCUAUCACUGAAGGAGGGGAUUGCGUCUGAUUAGCUAGUUGGAGGGGUAACGGCCCACCAAGGCGAUGAUCAGUAGCCGGUCUGAGAGGAUGAACGGCCACAUUGGGACUGAGACACGGCCCAGACUCCUACGGGAGGCAGCAGUGGGGAAUCUUCCGCAAUGGACGAAAGGCUGACGGAGCAACGCCGCGUGAGGGAUGACGGCCUUCGGGUUGUAAAGCUCUGUUAAUCGGGACGAAAGGCCUUCUUGCGAAUAGUGAGAAGGAUUGACGGUACCGGAAUAGAAAGCCACGGCUAACUACGUG